CUACUACUCCCUCCGUCCAAAAAUACUUGUCAUCAAAAUAGAUAAAAAGAGAUGUAUCUAAAACUAAAAUACAUCUAGAUACAUUUCCUUUUAUCCAUUUUGAUGACAAGUAUUUUCGGACGGAGGGAGUAUUAA
rnacentral:pre_miRNA from 1 species